GACGAACGCUGGCGGCGUGCUUAACACAUGCAAGUCGAACGGAAAGGCCCUGCUUUUGUGGGGUGCUCGAGUGGCGAACGGGUGAGUAACACGUGAGUAACCUGCCCUUGACUUUGGGAUAACUUCAGGAAACUGGGGCUAAUACCGGAUAGGAGCUCCUGCUGCAUGGUGGGGGUUGGAAAGUUUCGGCGGUAGGGGAUGGACUCGCGGCUUAUCAGCUUGUUGGUGGGGUAGUGGCUUACCAAGGCUUUGACGGGUAGCCGGCCUGAGAGGGUGACCGGCGACAAUGGGACUGAGAGACGGCCCAGACUCCUACGGGAGGCAGCAGUGGGGAAUAUUGCACAAUGGGCGGAAGCCUGAUGCGGCGACGCCGCGUGCGGGAUGACGGCCUUCGGGUUGUAAACCGCUUUCGCCUGUGACGAAGCGUGAGUGACGGUAAUGGGUGAAGAAGCACCGGCUAACUACGUG
rnacentral:rRNA from 1 species